rnacentral:rRNA from 3 species
CGAAGUGGUUGAUGCCAUGCUUCCAAGAAAAGCUUCUAAGCUUCAGGUAACCAGGAACCGUACCCCAAACCGACACAGGUGGUUGGGUAGAGAAUACCAAGGCGCUUGAGAGAACUCGGGUGAAGGAACUAGGCAAAAUGGCACCGUAACUUCGGGAGAAGGUGCGCCGGUGAGGGUGAAGGACUUGCUCCGUAAGCUCAUGCCGGUCGAAGAUACCAGGCCGCUGCGACUGUUUAUUAAAAACACAGCACUCUGCAAACACGAAAGUGGACGUAUAGGGUGUGACGCCUGCCCGGUGCCGGAAGGUUAAUUGAUGGGGUUAGCUAACGCGAAGCUCUUGAUCGAAGCCCCGGUAAACGGCGGCCGUAACUAUAACGGUCCUAAGGUAGCGAAAUUCCUUGUCGGGUAAGUUCCGACCUGCACGAAUGGCGUAACGAUGGCGGCGCUGUCUCCACCCGAGACUCAGUGAAAUUGAAAUCGCUGUGAAGAUGCAGUGUAUCCGCGGCUAGACGGAAAGACCCCGUGAACCUUUACUAUAGCUUUGCACUGGACUUUGAAUUUGCUUGUGUAGGAUAGGUGGGAGGCUUUGAAGCGUGGACGCCAGUUCGCGUGGAGCCAUCCUUGAAAUACCACCCUGGCAACUUUGAGGUUCUAACUCAGGUCCGUUAUCCGGAUCGAGGACAGUGUAUGGUGGGUAGUUUGACUGGGGCGGUCUCCUCCUAAAGAGUAACGGAGGAGUACGAAGGUGCGCUCAGACCGGUCGGAAAUCGGUCGUAGAGUAUAAAGGCAAAAGCGCGCUUGACUGCGAGACAGACACGUCGAGCAGGUACGAAAGUAGGUCUUAGUGAUCCGGUGGUUCUGUAUGGAAGGGCCAUCGCUCAACGGAUAAAAGGUACUCCGGGGAUAACAGGCUGAUACCGCCCAAGAGUUCAUAUCGACGGCGGUGUUUGGCACCUCGAUGUCGGCUCAUCACAUCCUGGGGCUGAAGCCGGUCCCAAGGGUAUGGCUGUUCGCCAUUUAAAGUGGUACGCGAGCUGGGUUUAGAACGUCGUGAGACAGUUCGGUCCCUAUCUGCCGUGGACGUUUGAGAUUUGAGAGGGGCUGCUCCUAGUACGAGAGGACCGGAGUGGACGAACCUCUGGUGUUCCGGUUGUCACGCCAGUGGCAUUGCCGGGUAGCUAUGUUCGGAAUAGAUAACCGCUGAAAGCAUCUAAGCGGGAAACUAGCCUCAAGAUGAGAUCUCACUGGAACCUUGAGUUCCCUGAAGGGCCGUCGAAGACUACGACGUUGAUAGGUUGGGUGUGUAAGCGCUGUGAGGCGUUGAGCUAACCAAUACUAAUUGCCCGUGAGGCUUGACCAU